UGUAUUAACUACUAACUUUUCCUCNUGACUGAAAGUGCUUUACAACCCGAAGGCCUUCUUCACACACGCGGCAUGGCUGCAUCAGGNUUUCCCCCAUUGUGCAAUAUUCCCCACUGCUGCCUCCCGUAGGA
rnacentral:rRNA from 1 species